UUAGUUAUGAGAAAUGACUGAGUAGUGACUGUGUAUAUGAAGUUUACUGUGUAUAUGAAGGUUACUGUGUAUAAGAUGUCGGUAAUUAGAAGAAAACCCUAAUUACUGUUGUUUGUCGAUAAUUAGGACAAACCCUAAUUAUUACAACCCUAAUCGGUUGAAGUUAGAGAUCGUAAUGACUGUGUUAGAACAUACACAGAUAAUUAGAGAACCCUAAUGGUCAAUUAGAAACCCUAAUUGAUGGCGUUAAGAAACCCUAAUUAUAGAACCCUAAUUUUUUCUAUAGAAAACCCUAAUUUAAAAUUUUUGGGUUUAAUUACGAUGUUAUUGUAUAAAUGUUUUAAUUUACCAAAGGAUAGAAAUUAAUUGGUAAAUGAUAAGAAUUACCAUCUAGUGAU
rnacentral:lncRNA from 1 species